GAUGAACGCUAGCUACAGGCUUAACACAUGCAAGUCGAGGGGCAGCAUGACCUAGCAAUAGGUUGAUGGCGACCGGCGCACGGGUGAGUAACACGUAUCCAACCUGCCGAUUAUUCCUGGAUAGCCUUUCGAAAGAAAGAUUAAUACUGGAUAGCAUAACGAGAAGGCAUCUUCUUGUUAUUAAAGAAUUUCGAUAAUCGAUGGGGAUGCGUUCCAUUAGUUUGUUGGCGGGGUAACGGCCCACCAAGACAUCGAUGGAUAGGGGUUCUGAGAGGAAGGUCCCCCACAUUGGAACUGAGACACGGUCCAAACUCCUACGGGAGGCAGCAGUGAGGAAUAUUGGUCAAUGGACGAGAGUCUGAACCAGCCAAGUAGCGUGAAGGAUGACUGCCCUAUGGGUUGUAAACUUCUUUUAUAUGGGAAUAAAGUGGGCCACGUGUGGCUUUUUGUAUGUACCAUACGAAUAAGGAUCGGCUAACUCCGUG
rnacentral:rRNA from 1 species